UCAGUGUGUCUGUGUGUCUACCUCGUGUUCUAUGGCUUUCAUCCUAUGUGAAUGUUAUCGCACAUGUUCACAUUGGUGGAAGUCAAAGAAGACGUGUGUGGAAACUCACCGCUACUAAC
rnacentral:precursor_RNA from 16 species